AUCCUUUGGAUAGUGUCUUCAGGCUUGGAUCCCUGACUUAAGUGUGACCUUUGACAGAGUUCCCUGAAAAUGUUCUCCCCCUGCUGCCCAUAUAACUAGGUGUUGUGCUCCAGCUGUAUGUUAGGAUCCUGCUGUCAAAUGCAAAUUAGGUGAUGC